CGCAGGAACCGCAGGUCCAAAGGAUGCACUCCUCUCCUGGCACUGUUUUCUUGGUGCCCUUAUUGGCAUCACCGGCAGUGGAGCUAUUCCUGUGAGGAUUUUUGCUGUGCAACGGCACAGGGUAUGUGAUGUGGCAGAGACUCCUCCUACUGUGCUCGUUACCCAUUCUACCCUUCUUUCUUAGUGAUGAACUCCCCAAUAUUUAGCUGGCACACAGAAAAAGGGUGCCACUUCCAGCCUCCUUGCUGUCAGAUGUUUUUCAGAAGAACCUGCCAGAUCUGAUCCCUGGAGCAUGCGUAGACAUCUGCAAGGUGACGGACAGACCCGCGACAGGAAUCGAACCGGCACCACGGGGGGGAACUGCGCAGUCCUGCCAUCCAGUCCCAGGAGCCUUUGUUAGGGGUUCCAUCUUGGGCUGCCUCCUGCCCGCGUACCUAAUCUUCAUAACUAAAGAUGAUGCCUUUUUCUGCCUAAAACCCUUUAUAAGCCCUAGCCAAUCCUUUCUUCAGGGAGACAAAGGCUAGCGUUGCUUUGUCCUUCUUUGUCUCCGCUCGCGAGCUACUUUUGCUCAAUAAAGCUUCGU